rnacentral:rRNA from 1 species
AUGACAGCUGCCAUGGAAGAGCAGAAGAAAAUCAUUGAGCAAAAUGGAGAACCCAUAGACUACACCAUCUUGUCAAAGAUGGAUACCUUGCGUUGCUGUAUCAAAGAGGCACUGAGGCUUUAUUCUCCGACGCCAUUACUACUUCGUCAUGCACACAAGAGAUUCGCGGUGCAAACCAGAGAUGGCAUGGAAUAUGAGAUUCCAAAAGGGCAUGCUUUAGCAUGCUCCAUAGCGGUCAGCAACAAGUUACCUUACAUUUAUAAGAUCCCUAAUAUGUAUGACCCAUGCCGGUUUGGCCCGGGGAGAGAAGAGGACAAAACCGGCGGCAAGUUUUCGGACAUAUCUUUUGGUGCUGGGAGGUAUUCUUGCUUGGGACAGGAUUAUGCUUUCAUGCAAAUCAAGGUCAUAUGGAGCUAUUUGCUGAGGAACUUUGAGCUUGAGUUGAUCUCUCCUUUCCCCGAGCUAGAGAAUGACAAAAUAUUACCAGGACCCAGGGGAAAAGUGACGGUUACUUAUAGGAGAAGGUCAAUAGUUAAUUAG